rnacentral:rRNA from 1 species
UAAAUUGCUGUGGUAUUUUGACUAUACGAAGGUAUUGAAAUAAGACUUUAAAUGGGUGCUAAGAGAAUGGUUGAACAAUUAUUGACUUUCUUUAAUUUAAAAAUUAAAUUUAAUUUUUUUGUGAAGAAGCAAAAAUGAAUAUUAGGGACAAGAAGACCCUAUGAAUUUUAAUUUAGUCUUAUUUUUUAUUUAAAAUUAUUAUUAAAUUUGGUUGGGGCGAUGAAAAAAGAAUAUGUAUCUUUUAUUGAUUUUUUAAAGAAAGUUAGUUCCGUUUUUUACGAUUGAAUGAAAAAAAUACUCUAGGGAUAACAGCGUAAUAAUUUUGGAUAGUUCAUAUAGAUAAAAUAGUUUGCGACCUCGA